rnacentral:lncRNA from 1 species
UGCCGGCUUGAUGUGGAUGUAUCUUUCCGUGAGGAUGGACAGAAGGUGGGAGCGGGUUUCAUUGUCAGAGACUCCUCAGGUACAAUCAUUUUUGCCGGUGCCCGACCGAUUGGAUUCACGCCUACGGUUUUACUUGGGGAACUCCACGCUAUGAUGAUUGCUAUUGGCUUUUGCCUUGAACAAGAUAUCGGUCCAGUCUUUAUUUUCUCCGACUCCCUUCUUGCUAUUCAUGUGCUUCAGGAUGAGAGGGGAGGGUCUGAUUCUCUCUGUGAUGAUUUGUGGGAGGUCUUUGAGCAUGCGCGCAAGUACGUGGUGUUGGAGUUUUGUCAUGCUCGAAGAAGUGCAAAUAGAGCGGCUCAUGCUUUAGCUGCUUCUGCUGUGGUUUCUCAGGGUGAGCAAACGUGGACGUCAGACUUUCCUGUUUGGCUUCUUGAUAUUGUAAACUCUGAUAUGGUUUGAUUUAUAUGAUACGCCUUUUCUCU